GAUGAACGCUGGCGGCGUGCCUAAUACAUGCAAGUCGAGCGAACAGACGAGGAGCUUGCUCCUCUGACGUUAGCGGCGGACGGGUGAGUAACACGUGGAUAACCUACCUAUAAGACUGGGAUAACUUCGGGAAACCGGAGCUAAUACCGGAUAAUAUAUUUAACCGCAUGGUUCAAUAGUGAAAGACGGUUUUGCUGUCACUUAUAGAUGGAUCCGCGCCGCAUUAGCUAGUUGGUAAGGUAACGGCUUACCAAGGCAACGAUGCGUAGCCGACCUGAGAGGGUGAUCGGCCACACUGGAACUGAGACACGGUCCAGACUCCUACGGGAGGCAGCAGUAGGGAAUCUUCCGCAAUGGGCGAAAGCUUGACGGAGCAACGCCGCGUGAGUGAUGAAGGUCUUCGGAUCGUAAAACUCGGUUAUUAGGGAAGAACAAAUGUGUAAGUAACUAUGCACGUAUUGACGGUACCUAAUCAGAAAGCAACGGCUAACUACGUG
rnacentral:rRNA from 1 species